rnacentral:rRNA from 1 species
UACCAGCACCCCGAGUGGUCGGGACGAUUAUUGGGCCUAAAGCAUCCGUAGCCGGUUCUACAAGUCUUCCGUUAAAUCCACCUGCUUAACAGAUGGGCUGCGGAGGAUACUAUGGAGCUAGGAGGCGGGAGAGGCAAGCGGUACUUAGUGGGUAGGGGUAAAAUCCGUUGAUCCAUUGAAGACCACCAGUGGCGAAGGCGGCUUGCCAGAACGCACUCGACGGUGAGGGAUGAAAGCUGGGG